UACGAGGGGGGCAAAUGUUGUUCGGAAUCACUGGGCGUAAAGGGAGCGUAGGCGGGUUUUUAAGUCAGGUGUUUAAUCCCGGGGCCCAACCCCGGACAGGCACUUGAAACUGGGAAUCUUGAAUAGUGGAGAGGUCAGUGGAAUUGGGGGUGUAGCGGUGGAAUGCGUAGAGAUCCCCAAGAACACCCGUUGCGAAGGCGGCUGACUGGACACAUAUUGACGCUGAGGCUCGAAAGCAUGGGGAGCAAACAGG
rnacentral:rRNA from 1 species